rnacentral:lncRNA from 1 species
GACUGGCACUGAAGAUUCUAAUGGAUGCUCUGAACAAUUAGAGGGCCUCUUCAGCUGCUUUUUCAGUUUGAAGUUAUGAUUGGAGGAGACCUCGAAAUUCAGCUGUGUGCAGUAUUUACAGGCAUUUGACAAUCAUAGCAACUGUUUGCCAGUCUUCCCACAUCAUAAAAAAUUCAAAAACACAAACAACCAAAAGGGAAAAAAAAAAGAAAAGAAAAGAAGAUGGGGGGGGGAAUCCUCUAAUGUUCUUGGACCUCACUAGAAACAUAAAAAAGAAAUGACAGCCUUAUGUUCAACAUGGACCUUUUGUGAAUUGUUUAUCUCUCAGAAAGUCCAGGAGUGUCGGAAAAUUCAAUCAGUGGUUAGUCAUCGAAUGGACGUGUCUGCCUGUGGUUCAUUUUGUUUAUUGCACCAUAUAUCUUUUAUGAUCACCGGGAUUUUAGCCUGAAACAGCAUUUUCUUUAACAAGAGCCAUGUUUCCUUUAACGUUGUUUAUUGCGUCUGAAACCUUAUUCUUUGAAAUCAUGGUACGUUUUCUGUUGAGCAAAGGUCGGCAACUGAAUCCUGCAUGAAUGUGUUUAUUCAGGAUCUAGAGUAAAAAAAAAAAAGAAAGAAAACUCGACCAGUUCAUGUAACAUUAAUCACUUUGCCAGUGUUCAGCUGAGGUCAUUGCCACAUUCCUAGCAGUAUUAAGGCAAGUCAAGAUUAAUCACGUACAUUAAACCUUGGAAGGGAAGCGCGUGAAAGGGAUCUCAAAUUAGACAUUUCUUAAAAGAUGGAGAAGGGACUGCAACAAAAUGGACUUAUUCUGCGGCAGCUCGUCUUGCAACUUGCUUGGUUUUACUGCAUGUGGUCAAUAUAACCGCUCUGAAUCUACAGGCUUCCUUUUUCCUGUUUCUGGCAGUUUAUAGGUCAAAUUUAAGGUCUGUCUGAGCAUUCGAAAUGAAGACUCGUUCACUAAACAUUUUCUCAGAACACGCAAACCACCAGGCACCAGCUAGGAACUGUUCAUGCAAAGAUGAACCAGAUACCGCCCUCCCUCUCCCGCCUCCUCCGAGAAGCGCAUGAUGCACCCGGGAAGACCCGUACCAGAUGUGUACAAUCUGAAUAGAGUUUUGUGGGAGUACAGAGGAGGGAAUGAGUAAUUGUGAUGAGAAGGCAGAAAAGUUCACUUUACUGAAGUUAACGUUACAGGGGGAGAAAGGUAUCAACUGGUCAUGUUCUUCCCAACGUGUAUUCUGGUUUAGGGUAAAAUGGAUCCCAGUGGAGUCUGAGAGAAUGGAUCAGUUCAACCCCUCUAAGAGCUUGACCUCUAAGCAUAGAGGUGGAGCCGACUGCUUUCCCAUCCAUCAGUUCUCUUUCAACCUGAUGUGGAGAUGAUGACAAAAAGAAUGGACUUUAACAAGAAGUAUUUAACAUUCAAAGCCAGCCUCCUGACUUGACACUAUCCUCCUAGAUUUGGAGGCUUUUUGUUUUCAUAUCUUCAGUGACACCUAGGAAAGUGCUUAACAUGUAUGUAAUGCUUAAUAAAGAUUUGCUUAAAAUUUUUUUGUUUUUAGUGUGGUAAAAUAUACAUAACAUAAAUUUACCAUUUUAAUCAUUUUAAGUGUACUAUUUAGGGGUAUUAAGUACACUCACAAUGUUGUACAACCAUUACCACUAGCCAUUUCCAGAGCUUUUUCAUCAUCGCAAACAGAAACUUUGUACACGUUACACAAUAGCUCCCCCUUCUCCCUCCAGCCCUGGUAAUCUCUAGUCUACUUUCCGUCUCUAUGAGUUUGCCUCUUGUAGGUACUUUAUACAAGUG